UGGGCGCGUGGCGGACGGGUGAGUAACACGUGGGUAAUCUGCCCUCAUGUGGGGGAUAACCCGCCGAAAGGCGGGCUAAUACCGCAUAACAUUCCGGGGACUUCGGUCGCUGGAAUCAAAGGUCGCAAGACCGCAAGAGGAGGGGCCCGCGCCCGAUUAGCUUGUUGGCGAGGUAAUGGCUCACCAAGGCUAUGAUCGGUAGCCGGUCUGAGAGGAUGGCGGGCCACACUGGAACUGAGACACGGUCCAGACUCCUAGGGGAGGGGCAGUGGGGAUUCUUGCGCAAUGGGCGAAAGCCUGACCCAGCAACCGGCGGGGGGGAUGAAGCUUCUCGGAG
rnacentral:rRNA from 1 species